CCUACGGGAGGCAGCAGUGAGGAAUCUUGGUCAAUGGGCGCGAGCCUGAACCAGCCAAGUAGCGUGAAGGAUGACUGCCCUACGGGUUGUAAACUUCUUUUAUAAAGGAAUAAAGUGAGGCACGUGUGCCUUUUUGUAUGUACUUUAUGAAUAAGGAUCGGCUAACUCCGUGCCAGCAGCCGCGGUAAUACGGAGGAUCCGAGCGUUAUCCGGAUUUAUUGGGUUUAACGGGAGCGUAGAUGGGUUGUUAAGUCAGUUGUGAAAGUGUACGGCUCAACCGUAAAAUUGCAAUUGAUACUGGCAGUCUUGAGUACAGUUGAGGUAGGCGGAAUUCGUGGUGUAGCGGUGGAAUGCGUAGAUAUUAGGAGGAACACCAGUGGCGAAGGCGGCCUGCUGGACGACAACUGACGGUGAGGCGCGAAAGCGUGGGGAGCAAACAGGAUUAGAUACCCGGGUAGUC
rnacentral:rRNA from 1 species